UUACGGUCAAAUCACGCUGAAAAUAAUGAUUCUGGUUCGAACACCGAAGUUAAGUUACGUCGCGCCCGGUCAGUAAUUAAAUGGGAGACUGCUUGGAAACACUGGGUACUGUAA